UUCCCAUUAAACCUGUAGGUUGAAGAUCUUGCUGACUUUUCCUUCCAGACAACGCCUAUGUAUAUAGAUGUGGAUGAUGGGAGAACUAAGGCCACGAAUAUAGGACUGCAACAGGACUAUUGUCUUGUGCCAAGUGCCAAGAGAUUUUAUUCUCCUAUAUUCUUUCCUGACGAGGAAUCUAUCAAAGAAAGUGAUGGUCUUCUUCUCUUCUUGCAACUCAGUUUCUUGGAAACAAUAAGUUGAAUGGCGCUCUCUCUGAAUCGAAAAGCUCAUCUCUUCUCAAUGUAUGAGUUAAAUGCCUCACUAAGCUGCACAUGAGUUAAAUGCAGACGAGUAGACCACCUACCAGAUUUGCAGCAAAGGUUUUUGUUCUUUUUUCUGCAAUAUCUUGUUCCUCAUUGAGAAUGAAGACUAGUUGCUCUUGUAAUAUGCAGCAUAAGUCUAUAUGGGGGUCAAGAAAGAUUUGUGUCUCUGCAAUGGGUCAGCAGGUUUGUGUCUCUGCAAGCUCACUGGCCAUUCCGUUUUCUAUGACCACUUCUAUGAUUUGGGUGAUUCCGUUCAUGAUCAGAUUGUGAAACUAGUACAGCAGUACAGCAGUAUAGCUAGCUAGUUCCUUUAUUAACUUGUGUCUAGUAGAAAUUUUUCAUUCAUUAAGCAUUUAGACUUGUCUUCAGAUCCAGAUUAGUAUAUAUGAGUUAUUUUGAACUGAAGUUCAUGAUUAAGUUUGUGUACAUGAGAUACUAGUGGAUUAAUGGAAAUUGCAAUGAAUGAUUUUGAAUGUGGAUUUUAUGGUUUCAUACUUUCA